rnacentral:misc_RNA from 1 species
ACUGCGGAGGAUCAUUAUCAAGUUACAGCGGAGGCGCUCUCGGGUGUCCUCCUGUCUGCAACCCUUGUCUUUUGCGUACUGUAUGUUUCCUCGGUGGGCUCGCCUGCCGAUAGGACAUUCAUAAACUCUUUGUAAUUGCAAUCAGCGUCAGAAAAACUUAUAAUAGUUACAACUUUCAACAACGGAUCUCUUGGUUCUGGCAUCGAUGAAGAACGCAGCGAAAUGCGAAAAGUAGUGUGAAUUGCAGAAUUCAGUGAAUCAUCGAAUCUUUGAACGCACAUUGCGCCCCUUGGUAUUCCAUGGGGCAUGCCUGUUCGAGCGUCAUUUGUACCUUCAAGCUCUGCUUGGUGUUGGGUGUUUGUCCCGCCGUUGCGCGUGGACUCGCCUCAAAGCAAUUGGCAGCCGGCAUAAGCCUGGGAGCGCAGCACAAUUGUUGCUUCCAUUCUUAGAUGUCGAGCGUCCAGCAAGCCUUUUAUUCUUGCGUUUGACCUCGGAUCACGUAGGGAUACCCGCUGAACUUAAGCAUAUCAAUAAGCGGAGGAAAAGAAACCAACAGGGAUUGCCCUAGUAACGGCGAGUGAAGCGGCAUCAGCU